rnacentral:rRNA from 1 species
UAGAGUUUGAUCCUGGCUCAGGAUGAACGCUAGCUACAGGCUUAACACAUGCAAGUCGCAGGGUAACAUGAGGAAAGCUUGCUUUCCUUGAUGACGACUGGCGCACGGGUGAGUAACGCGUAUCCAACCUUCCCAUAACUACGGGAUAACCCGUUGAAAGACGGCCUAAUACCGUAUGAUAUCGUUUGCUGACAUCAAAUAACGAUUAAAGGUUUAGCGGUUAUGGAUGGGGAUGCGUCUGAUUAGCUUGUUGGCGGGGUAACGGCCCACCAAGGCAACGAUCAGUAGGGGUUCUGAGAGGAAGGUCCCCCACAUUGGAACUGAGACACGGUCCAAACUCCUACGGGAGGCAGCAGUGAGGAAUAUUGGUCAAUGGGCGAGAGCCUGAACCAGCCAAGUAGCGUGCAGGAUGACGGCCCUAUGGGUUGUAAACUGCUUUUAUGUGGGGAUAAAGUGCGUGACGUGUCAUGCAUUGCAGGUACCACAUGAAUAAGGACCGGCUAAUUCCGUGCCAGCAGCCGCGGUAAAAGGG